CCUGCCCCGUCCCCGGCCGGGAGGCGGGCGCCGGCGGCUUUGGUGACUCUAGAUAACUUCGGGCCGAUCGCACGCCCCCCGUGGCGGCGACGACCCAUUCGAACGUCUGCCCUAUCAACUUUUGAUGGUAGUCGCCGUGCCUAUCAUGGUGACCAUGGGUGACGGGGAAUUCCGUGUUCGAUUCUGGGGAAGGGAGCCUGAGAAACGGCUACCACAUCCAAGGAAGGCAGCAGGCGUGCAAAUUCGCCACUCCCGACCCGGGGAGGUGUAGUGACGAAAAAUAAUACAGGACUCUUUUGAGGCCCUGUAGUUGGAAUGAGUCCAUUUUAAGUCCUUUAAAGAGGAUCCAUUGGAGGGCAAGUCCGGUACCAGCAGCUGCGGUAAUUCCAGCUCCAAUAGCGUAUAUUAAAGUUGGUGCAGUUAAAAGCUCGUAGUUGCAUCUUGGGAGCGGGCGGGCGGUCCGCCGCGAGGCGAGCCACCGCCCGGCCCCGCCCCUUGCCUCUUGGCGCCCCCUGGGUGCUCUUAGCUGAGUGUCCCGCGGGGCCCGAAGCGUUUACUUUGAAAAAAUUAGUGUUCAACGCAGGCCCGAGCCGCAUGGAUACCGCAGCUAGGAAUAAUGGAAUAGGACCGCGGUUCUAUUUUGUUGGUUUUCGGAACUGAGGCCAUUUAUUUAAGAGGGACGGCUGGGGGUAUUGCGCCGCUAGAGGUGAAAUUCUUGGACCGGCGCAAGAUGGACCAGAGCGAAAGCAUUUGCCAAGAAUGUUUACAUUAAUCAAGAAGGAAAGUCAGAGGUUCGAAGACGAUCAGAUACCGUUGUCGUUCCGACCAU